rnacentral:tRNA from 1 species
GCCCUCGUAGCUCAGGGGAUAGAGCGGCUGUUUCCUAAACAGUAGGUCACAAGUUCGAAUCUUGUCGGGGGCA